CAACAUUUUAAUGUCGCCGUAAGUGCUUGCCAGCAACUUUGCAAAAUAUCCCUGGAGCAUUAAGAGAAAAAUGAACAUCUUUUAACAUGAGAGGGAAGCUCUGAAGUUACAUCAUGCUGAAUGGGCAAGAGAAAGGAAGACUAACCUUCCGAACCCGUUAAGGAGCUUCUGAGCAUGGAGACUGCAUUUUCAGUUUUGGUGAAAUCCGUUCUGAGGCAGGAGACAGGAGGCUGUUAUGACCAUGAAAUUAGGAAAUGCAGCAACUCAAAACUAAAGAACUAGCACCACCAUUUGACUAGGAGUGGAAAAUCUGCACAAAAUAGAGGAGGGGGUGGCCUUGCUUUCUCCACACGAGGCCUGAUUCUAACUUUCUUAGCCCUUCGGUCAGGACAGACGUUCAACAAGGGAAGUAGCCACUAACAGCCUGGUCUCCACAAGCAAAGUAAAGCAGAAAAUUGAUCAAGCAAAAUCCUGCUGUGACCCAGUAGUAAUAAAGGAGGUAGAAGAAGAAAGAAGAGGAGGAGGAAGAGGACACUUGGUUUUUGAAGCAAUUCGGAAGCUGGGUAGAAUAAAUUCCAGCACCUGAAACUACUAAGUUAACCAUCCAGCCAUUCCCACCCAAGGAACUAGCAGGGCAUCAAUAUGUGCCUGACGUGUUCACCUCCACAUCGCCAGUGCCUGGCUGGAAUCAGUAUGCUUACCUCUACUCACCUAUCAAGAGUGUCAUGUAACCGGCAUGGCAUCAAAGAAUCUAAACCAAAGGGCUGUGGGGAAACUGCAGAAACACACCCACGAUCCUUCAGGGAAAGGACAUCUCUGAAGAACAGUGUCUGUUCAAAGGGUGACAACACAGCCACCACAAAGAGAAGCCCAUACCCAACAAUAAGGCUUCGAUGAAAACCUACAUGCUCCGACUUCUGUUUUAAUUCAUUUCACUUUUAGGUUUCAGAGUCUUAUUUCUUCACAAUCUGGAAGAAUGGGUGAUUUGUUUCAGACCGUAGUCAUAAAGCACACACAAUCCAAACCUC